GAUGAGCGCUGGCGGCGUGCCUAACACAUGCAAGUCGUGCGGAAACACUUCGGGUGUCGAGCGGCGGACGGGUGAGUAACGCGUAGGAAUCUACCCCAGACUGAGGGAUAACUAGCCGAAAGGUUGGCUAAUACCGCAUACGGUCUACGGAUUAAAGCUUCGGCGGUUUGGGAAGAGCCUGCGUUCGAUUAGCUUGUUGGUGAGGUAAAGGCUUACCAAGGCGACGAUCGAUAGCUGGUCUGAGAGGAUGAUCAGCCACACUGGGACUGAGACACGGCCCAGACUUCUACGGAAGGCAGCAGUGGGGAAUCUUUCACAAUGGGGGCAACCCUGAUGGAGCAACGCCGCGUGCAGGAUGAAUGCCUUCGGGUUGUAAACUGCUUUUAUGUUUGAGGAUUAUGACAGUAGAACAUGAAUAAGGACCUGCUAACUACGUG
rnacentral:rRNA from 1 species